AUUGAACGCUGGCGGCAGGCCUAACACAUGCAAGUCGAACGGUAACAGGAAGCAGCUUGCUGCUUUGCUGACGGGUGGCGGACGGGUGAGUAAUGUCUGGGAAACUGCCCGAUGGAGGGGGAUAACUACUGGAAACGGUAGCUAAUACCGCAUAACGUCGCAAGACCAAAGAGGGGGACCUUAGGGCCUCUUGCCAUCGGAUGUGCCCAGAUGGGAUUAGCUAGUAGGUGGGGUAACGGCUCACCUAGGCGACGAUCCCUAGCUGGUCUGAGAGGAUGACCAGCCACACUGGAACUGAGACACGGUCCAGACUCCUACGGGAGGCAGCAGUGGGGAAUAUUGCACAAUGGGCGCAAGCCUGAUGCAGCCAUGCCGCGUGUAUGAAGAAGGCCUUCGGGUUGUAAAGUACUUUCAGCGGGGAGGAAGGGAGUAAAGUUAAUACCUUUGCUCAUUGACGUUACCCGCAGAAGAAGCACCGGCUAACUCCGUG
rnacentral:rRNA from 1 species